AGCGAACGCUGGCGGCAGGCCUAACACAUGCAAGUCGAACGGACCCUUCGGGGUUAGUGGCGAACGGGUGAGUAAUACAUCGGAACGUGCCUAGUAGUGGGGGAUAACUACUCGAAAGAGUGGCUAAUACCGCAUGAGAUCUACGGAUGAAAGCAGGAGAUCGCAAGACCUUGUGCUACUAGAGCGGCCGGUGGCAGAUUAGGUAGUUGGUGGGAUAAAAGCUUACCAAGCCGACGAUCUGUAGCUGGUCUGAGAGGACGACCAGCCACACUGGGACUGAGACACGGCCCAGACUCCUACGGGAGGCAGCAGUGGGGAAUUUUGGACAAUGGGCGCAAGCCUGAUCCAGCAAUGCCGCGUGCAGGAUGAAGGCCUUCGGGUUGUAAACUGCUUUUGUACGGAACGAAAAGCCCUGGGUUAAUACCCUGGGGUCAUGACGGUACCGUAAGAAUAAGCACCGGCUAACUACGUGCCAGCCGCCGCGGUAAGAC
rnacentral:rRNA from 1 species